rnacentral:rRNA from 1 species
UACCAGCACCCCGAGUGGUCGGGACGAUUAUUGGGCCUAAAGCAUCCGUAGCCGGUCCUACAAGUCUUCCGUUAAAUCCACCUGCUUAACAGAUGGGCUGCGGAAGAUACUAUAGGGCUAGGAGGCGGGAGAGGCAAGCGGUACUCAGUGGGUAGGGUAAAUCCUCUGAUCCAUUGAAGACCACCAGUGGCGAAGGCGGCUUGCCAGAACGCGCUCGACGGUGAGGGAUGAAAGCUGGGGAGCAACGG